GAAGCCUGCCAGACCGCCGCUGGUGCAAGUCUCGAAAGAGCGCACUGGAGGAACGUCCGGACUGCACAGGACAGCGUAGGAGGUAACACCUCUCCACCGUGAGGUGAGGAUUAGAGCAACAGAGACGAGUCGGCUUGGGCUAACCGCAAGGAAAGCUCAGGCCGGGUGAAACGGGCAAUCUCUACGCGCAGCAAUACCAAGUAGGCCAGCGUUGAUGUGGUUCCGCAGAGCUGGCGGGUAGGUAGCACCGAGCCGGGUGGGCGACCCCCGGCCCAGAUUAAUGGCGGUCACACCGGGCUUGCCGCAAGGCAAACCCGGCGCACAAAAUCCGGCUUAUCGGCGGGCUUCACAC
rnacentral:RNase_P_RNA from 2 species